UACAUGUCCCCACAUCAAUUAAUAUGUCAUCAAAAGUCUCAACCACUGAAAAUUCUUUGUUUUUAUUUUAUUUCAAUUCUAUCUGUAUCCGUAAGAGUACUUUAAAUUUCCUUCAGUUGUUUUAUUUGUUUUCUUUAAAUGGGUACAGAUUAAAUUCUCGACCGGAAAAGAAUAUGGACAAUUAUGCAUAAAGAUUAGUGAAAUAGUGAUGAUAGUCCAGCAAAAUCGCAACAAAAAUGAUGAUAAACUAGCUCAUCGAAGAGAUGGAAAAUGAUGAUGAGUUGAUGUGCACACAGGAACUCGAUAAAUGAAUCUGGCAAUUUCUCUACUACUAGAGCAGUCGUGGAACUUGUUGCAUGAUAUUGAUUGAUCGAGUUGAUCUUCAGCUUCAUGAACUGAAACUUGAACCUUAGUUUGAAGUUCCUCGACAUGAGCUUAUGUAGCUGGCUACUGUUGCUUUUAAUAGUGACAUAUUUUAUCAUUAGAAACUCGAUUAGUUCUACAGGAACUUGCGAGUUCAAUAUUGAAAUAAACUUUAACCUGUUGCUGGGAAUAGUCAUGUUAGUUUCAAUCGCAAGUAAUAUAUUCACUUAUUUCAACGCA